rnacentral:rRNA from 1 species
UACGUAGGUGGCAAGCGUUGUCCGGAUUUACUGGGCGUAAAGAGCGCGCAGGCGGUCGUUCAAGUCGCGUGUGAAAGCCCCCGGCUCAACUGGGGAGGGUCACGCGAUACUGAUCGACUCGAAGGCAGGAGAGGGAAGUGGAAUUCCCGGUGUAGUGGUGAAAUGCGCAGAUAUCAGGAGGAACACCAAUGGCGAAGGCAGCUCGCUGGGACGUGACUGACGCUGAGACGCGAAAGCGUGGGGAGCAAACAGG